AACGAACGCUGGCGGCAGGCCUAACACAUGCAAGUCGAGCGAAGCCUUCGGGCUUAGCGGCGGACGGGUGAGUAACGCGUGGGAACGUGCCCUUUGCUACGGAAUAGCCCCGGGAAACUGGGAGUAAUACCGUAUGUGCCCUUCGGGGGAAAGAUUUAUCGGCAAAGGAUCGGCCCGCGUUGGAUUAGGUAGUUGGUGGGGUAAUGGCCUACCAAGCCGACGAUCCAUAGCUGGUUUGAGAGGAUGAUCAGCCACACUGGGACUGAGACACGGCCCAGACUCCUACGGGAGGCAGCAGUGGGGAAUCUUAGACAAUGGGGGAAACCCUGAUCUAGCCAUGCCGCGUGAUCGAUGAAGGCCUUAGGGUUGUAAAGUUCUUUCAGCUGGGAAGAUAAUGACGGUACCAGCAGAAGAAGCCCCGGCUAACUCCGCGCCAGCCGCCGCAGUAAUAC
rnacentral:rRNA from 1 species